UUUGGUUUGUUAUGGGUGGUUGGCUGUCUGCUUGUGCAGCAACGUCCACGCGUGCAUACCUCUUCAGUUCUGCUGCAUGGCUUGAUUGCUUUGCGCAUUUCGUGGGUUUCUUGUGUUGCAUACCUAGUCGAAGGCAUUGUAUGGAUUGAUCGAAGUACCUUUUCGUCGUGCUAUGCUUACGUGUAACGUGAUGAACCUCGAAGCGGUCUCUGUUGUCCAUAUCUUUGAUGCUCAUGCGUCGGUGACUUGGCCCAUGGAGCGUCGCUUGGUCUCUCGGAUACGGAAGCUGAUGUGGGCAUGUGGUCUUGUAUGAGAUCCUGUAUUUGCCCUCGUUAAGCGUUCUCGCUUCUCAAAAACGACCGCCCAUCGCGUCUCGGCUUGUUCGUGUGUGGUGGGCUACGUCGAUGA
rnacentral:misc_RNA from 1 species